UAAGUACUCCCUCCGUCCCAAAAUAAGUGACUCAAAUAUGACACAAUUUUGCACUAAAUUAGUGUAAAAUUGAGUCAUUUUUAGUCACUUAUUUUGAGACGGAGGAAGUACUAA
rnacentral:pre_miRNA from 1 species